CAUGUUGAGUAAAUCAAAGAGCAAAACACAGAAAAAGAAAGAGAGAGUUACGCAUCCAACAAUACAAGAAUACUUUAUGCUUGCUGGAGUUCUCAAUUUAGUCGAGUAUAGUUGCGAUGAACUUUCAUAGCAAUUAAUCCCCCAGGCAUGCGAUUUAGUCAAGUCAAUCCCCUCCAGGCUCCAGCUAGUUGAACCCCGUCCAGUACGCAGAGUAUUGCCCAGCCCAUCCACUGGGGCUCUUCUGCAUCACCAGGUAUUUGGGCACUCCUGGCUACUUUCUGUCCACACAUACCGGCUAGUUUUUGUUGACUGUAAAAGAAUGAGGGGUUUCUGGUAAUUUGGCAGCUGGUAUCUUUUACUGUUGUGCUCCUGGGUAUCGCACGCCGCUUCGAAGUGAGCCCAAAACCAGAACCAGAAGUUGAGGAAGGAGGAGAAUCACACGGGCAUUCAGAUCCUGAAUGGGGAAGCUUUUCAAAACAUAAGCAACCAAUUUCUCGAUUCCUCCGGCCACCCCGAAGCGCUCUCUCUCUCUCUCUCUCUCUCUCUGAUCGGUGUUGUUGUUGUUGUUGUUGUUUCAAAACCAGGUUAGUAAAUUCUUCCCUGCAUUUUGCUUUUCUCCGUCUCCGCGUUUGUGAAUUCCGCUGAGCAAAUGGCAAUGCAGCUUGAAAUUGUGUGGAAUCGGAAAAGUUAGGAGGAUUUGAGCUGGCUUGUAUCUUUUUUGUUGUGCUUAGGGUGUUUUCGAUUUUUCGGAAGGUGGAUAAUUUAGGUCUCUGAAGAUUGAGGCUUGGAUAACGUAGAAAGGAGGUCAGGUAUGGUAGGAAAAAGAGAGUAAAGAAUUAUUAGUAGUUUUUUUUGAGUUUGGAAGAGACGGAGAAGGACCACAAGUGGUGUGAGUUUCUUCUUAGAUGUAGUGUACCUGAAGAAAAGGAUAUUUUCAAUUGUGGCAUGGUGCUUUUGAUGCCAAACCCAAGUUCUGGUAAGCGUUUGAAUAUUCCUUAAGAUUGAAACUUUGAAUGUUAGAGAGAGCCCAAUAUGAACUAAGCCAUACUUGACUCUCUGUAACUUUGAAUCGUAAAGGUUCAUACUUUCUGUUUAUCAAGGUGAAGUUGCUUGCUUGUAAUAUUGAUUCAGUUCUUCUAAUCUGGGGUUAUGUAUUUUGGAAUUGUAUUUUGACGUGGGUUCUUUUGUUUGUUUGGAUAUUUUGAUUAGGCACUUUUUGAGGAAGUUGAAGGAAGUGAGGAAGAGCAAUGGACAAAUCUUGGCCAUCAAUGAGCUUUGCGUCCAUGAUUGAUAACAAGGAACAAGGCAUUCCUACAGAUUUUAUGAUGAGCAUCCAGUCACAGUCACACAAAAAUGGAAACAGGGGGUCAGAGCUGCAAAAAGAUGAAAAUGGGGGGUCAGAAUCACAGGAAGAUGGAAAUGGGAGAUGCAAAAUCUCAAAUGGGACUUCUAGUACAGAUGCUAAACUAGUGGAAAGCUCCGGCAGCACAACUGAUGAUUGCUGCUUGAUGCUUCUGAGGAGGAAAUCAGAGCGUGCUUGAUUGAUGGCACUGUUUUAUGCAGAAUUUUAAAUAAGCUGCAUGUGUCCGGUUCAGUUGAAAUGCUUUUGUCCUGCUUUAGGGAGGGAGUUUUGACCCUGGUUUUGCAAAUGUCAAAAGGUUUCUGGUGGCUGUGGAGGAGUUAGCUAGGAUUCCCUCCGUUUGAGCUUUUGGACCUAGAGCAGAAUUGUGCUGGCUGGAUUGACCAGUACCAGUGUGUAAUAUCAGCAUCUGUCAAUCAAUUGAUGGUUUGAGAUCAUUUGCAGGGAUCUUUGGUGCCAGUUAUAUGGUGCCUUAUUGCACUCAAAACUUCAUUUGAUUUUGGUUUUAGGGAAGAGAACACUAAAAAUGAAACAAAGACAGGAGGGGAGUUGUUGGAGAUAGAAUAUUUAAGGAAAAAUUAUCAUAAUCAAUCAUUCAAGAGAUACGGACAACAGGGUACUCAAAAUAGCUCAAAAUAGAGAAGGGACACAAGGAAAUUCAGAUGACUCAACUUCUGAAGUGACAGAAUGCAUCAAUUUGAUCUGAAUUGGAUCCUUCUGCUGUAAAUUCAGGAUCUUUAAAUACCUCUUUCGGAUUUGGAAAGUGCUUGAGAAUGCAAGACUGGACUUGUCUAUGGUUUCUUACGCCUAUAUUCUGGGUGACUGGUUUGAGGAAGAAGCCAUCUUCACCGUUGUGACUGCAGGUGCUAAAUAAGACAACUGGUACUUCAGAAAAUCUCCCUGCUGUUUCUUCAAUAGUGCUUCUAAGGUUGCUUUGGAGUGUUAACCUUUCUUGAUGUUUCGAUUGGUAUUCCUUUUUACCCAAAUUUGCUUAUUAUGUCUGUGAAAAUGGCUUGCACUUUUGCAUUGAUAUUGAUCUCAAACUGGGUUUUUGUGGCUUGCACUUUUGCAUUGAUAUUGAUAUUAAGGUUUGUAAUUUCUUGCAGAAAGCCAGAAAGUUAAAAACCCAUGUUUAGUUUUUGACUUUGGAAUUAGUUUGGAUAGUAUUUCCACUGUUUGAAUAUUAUUUUGACUAUGAAUAUUAACCGAUA